CCUGGCUCCUCGAUCGUACCAUGUGCGUUGGCGCUUCUGGGCUGGCUGGAGGUUCUCAUGUACAGACCUAGUUAACUCCUCCAGCCAGUCCCUGAACUCCAACACAUAGGGCACGAUGGGGAUACCAUCCAGACUACGCUCCUCUCCCAGUGUUCCCAGAUAAGGAUCCUUACCCAUCUCAAAAACAGUAACUCAGGAGGGGAGAACCC